GGAUCACCUGAUGAUUACCUGUUAUGUUUAUUCCCUCUAGGACAUCUGAUAUUGGCCACUGUCGGAAGAUAGGUUACUGGGUUAGAUGGACAUUUGGUCUCACUCAGUAUGGCUGUUCUUAUGUUCCUGUCUUUCCCCUUUUCACUGUGCAUGUGUAAACCAAACAUCUUUUGGGUGUAGUGCUGUCCCCAUCCAGAGACACCAAGAUCACUUCAAGAUUAAUGAGUCUGCUAAAGCCUUAGCUAACAGCCAUGUGGCUUUUAUAUCAUGCAAUAGAGAAUAAUGCAUUUAGCUCCAGAAGUCCUAGGUUCAAUCCCACCCACCAAUGACCAGCUCGGGGUUAUACAUGCCUAUUAAAUAGUUACUGAAGGGUUAGAUUCUGAGUUAGUUUUGGAUUUUUUAAAAAAAGAUUAAAAUAAUUUGGGGCAGGGGAAAAGUUUGAUGAAACAUUCAUUUUUGGGGUAAAACUAAAAUCGGUCAAUUUUCGUGACCCAAAAUAAAAAAAACAAAAACAAAUUAAAAAAACCCUAGCCCCACAUUUAUAUUUAGGCUCUGAUACAGUAUUCCUUCCCUUCCACACAUAUAUACCUACUGACCCCAGCAGAUAAAAGGAUGUACAUUUUUUUAGCUCUAGGCUUUCAAACUGUAUGACCUAAUCCAUGAGAAACACAGUAAAAUGUAAUGUGAGAAGUUUCACACUCAGUAGUGUGAACAUUGGAAAAGGUCAGAGUUUUAAUUAUUUAGCUUGCCAUUACCUUGAAAUAACUUAAUAUUUCUAGAGGUGGCAUAGUUAAGGUCUAUUUUCAUAUUGAUAAUCUGAUUGGAUCCACUUUUCCAUUUAGUUUUCAGGUGCUGGUUCAGCUUCAUACUGUAUUAUGAGUUCUUAAGAUAGCAUUAUUCUCAGUAAUUGUAUCUAACAUGCCAAUUAGAAAAGGGGACAGAUUUAGAAAUCAUGUUAUUGACUAACAAUAGCAGCUCACACAUAAACACAAAUUCUGAAAUUUAACAUGUACUAUAUAUUGCUUAAAAUAUUUUACUGUGUAAAAUCAUAUGGACACCUAAGAGAAAUACCCACCCAAACCCACACCCUUAAUUAAAACUACAUAAACAACUUCCUGGAAAAUUCAAAUAGAACUAUUCUUGUACAACUAGGUUUACAACUUUAUAAUCUUAUUGAUUUAGGAAAAUGGCCACUGAGAAUCAUCAAACUUUACUUCCAAGACACUUAGAAAUGGCUAAACACUUUUGAUGCUGUAAUUGAGUAUGUUAAACUAAUUGGCAAAUAUUUUUAAGUAAAACAGAAUACAGUUUUUACUAUAUCUGGAGCAGACUUAAUAAUCUUCUUUUGAUGAUGACCAGGAUAAAUGCAAUCUGAUUCAAAAUAUGGCUUGUGUGCAGCAAAGCUAAGUUACUAAAAAAACGGUUAAACUAAUGAUGCAACAGUAAUUUAUUUUUAAAGGCUAGUUAGAAAAGGUUUGGCCAUUUAAUUAGUGUUGUUAAACAUGACACAUCAGGGGUAGCUUAUUCUUCUGCUCUUCUAUUCAUCCAACUUCAUGGACAUACAUUAGAGCUCUGAAUUGGAGAAAGGACAUCAAGUUAUUACUAAAUAGGCCAAAAAUGUUGUAUAUAGAUAGAUUGUGAUGGCACAAAGAGUCAAAAACUUUCCCUACCAGGGUAGUUAAGGAUUCCUCUGGUAUGGGGGAGCCCCUGGUUAGAAUGGGAAGCAUUGCUGAAGCAUGAUGUGGGCUUUGGUGAUCUUAGGGCAGGGUAACAGUUCCUGAGCCACCAUUACCAGCCAGCAUAAUUUAGAGUAACCCUGAGGCUGACUUGUCUUACUUUGAGGGCCAAACUACUCCAGGGAUCAGAAUAAUGCCAAAAAAAAAAGGUGUACAGUCACCUUUUUCCCAAUACUCUUGAGUCCUGAACUGAGAACUGCUCAGCUGGACACACAGAUCUGACCCAUUGUGCAACUUGUCAAUUUUUAAAUGUCUAGCUCAUGUUUAAAGUAACUUUUUUUUUACAAUAUCACAUUCAGUAUCACAUAUGGCUGAACUUUUUGUACAUGUCAGAUUGUUUUGGAUCAGUUAGACAGAUGGAAAGUUCCUUGACAGUGAAGAAAUGUACUGUUCCUGCAUGUUGCCAUAGAAGUUUUGUUGAAAAGCCUUUAUCUUAUUAAACCAUUAUUUCCUAACAUGUACUUAAAGAUAUAUUGUCAGUAAUCAUAAAUGCAGCAUCACCAUAAAAAUCUUUUCUUUACACUUUUCCACAUAUGAAUGCUUAUCAUCUGAAUAGCAUGGAAUUGUAUCUUGCAGGUCUGUCUUUCAGGCCACAGCCAACAUUAACCUCAAUAAGUGUUUUUAAAAUUCUAUUUUGGUUGUGUUUUACUUAAUCUAAAUCAGACAUAUUGAUUGCCCCAUUUUCUUAGUUAAUAGAAUGUACUCAGUGUGAUUUGCAAAGUUCUGUGCUUUUUGACUGAGAGGUAAUCUGAUAGGUUUUGAAGAAUACAAUAGGUCAAUUCUUUAACAAUGUGUGCUCAUUAGUGUCUACCUUUUUCCAGUUUGGCUUACAUAAUGUGUAUGCAUAUAUAUGAUCUUAUAAAGGUGAAUGUAUUAUAAAUAUAUAUAUAUAUAUACACAUACAAUAUUGAAUCUAUGUCUUAAUCUUCUUUUUCACCUUUGCUUUGUGCCACUAGUUGGGGUUGGCCGCUCUUGUUUUUCAUCUCCAAGCAUUUCUGUUGAAUGCAUCUUACAGGCUGAUAUUGACUUUCUCAUUGUCCUCCUUCAGCAUGUAAAACCACUUUUGUCUGGGUCUUUCUCAUGGUCUUUUGUCAUGUGACUACUAGAUCUUUCACUCUCUGACAAACAGAUCCCACAUCCCGCUCUCUCCCAUGAUCAUCAUCUCAGCUGAUACUCCCUCAGCUUUUCCAUGAGGGGAGUUACCUACAUCAUGAUUCAUAGCAUUUCAUUACAUAGUUUAUCAGUUCUUGUCUUACCCAGCAUCCACCUGAACAAUCUUAUUUUGGCAGUGUGAAGUAGUACAAUAUUGCAUAUUAGAAAAAUAACCCUUCUCUUCCUCUCAAAAUAAGAUUUGCCAAUACAAAAGCAAAUUCUUCAAUAACGACAAUGCAUUUUAGUUAUCCACCUGUCUUGAAGAGAAAUGUAAUUAUCCUUUUUGAAGCUGUUUUUUUAAAGCAAUACUACACCAUGCUCUUUACUUCAGUAUAAAACACUGGGUAAAGGAAAACAGAAAAUGUACAAUGAUGCCUUUCAGUAAAAGUAAUUCCAAUUUCAGCCAAAUCUUUGGAACUUGUUUUCCUUUUUAUUUGUGUUAAGGAAGAAACAUGGCUGGGGUGGAUAGAGUGGGAUUUAUUUUUUACUUGAUUUCUUAGAGUCCUAGCCAAACAACCAUCCUUUUUGUUCUGCUUGUACAGUGCCUAGCAAAAUGGGGACUUGGCCCAUGAUUGGGGCUCCUAAGACCUAUGGUAAUAAAAAAUAACUAAUAAUAAUACUCUACUGUAGCGUAAUACACUUUUUUUUAAACAACUGCUAUAGUUUGGAUAUUUGUGGUCUGAAUUUCCUCAAAAAAAAUCAUCUAAAUAGCUUCAAGUGGAAUUUGAAAGUAACAUCCCUUUAAGACUAGAUAUCUUUCUUUCCUUUGUUCAUGCUAUCAGUAUUUUUUUUCUGUUUGACACAAGCUUUAGUAAGAUACAUCAUACAAAUGAAUGCACUUCCAUCCUCAACCAAAAAGACUGGAGCUAUAUUCCCCUUUUAAGAAAAUGAAAGCAUAUUCUACAGAAUACAAUAGUAUUUGAAAAAGCUGCAAAUCAAAUGGAUGGAUUUUUAUUGCUUCCUAUGAAACCACUGUUGAUGUUUACAUACCCUACCGUUCCCUAAUCUGUCAAUGCCCAGUGUCAAACAUUUUCUCAGAUGCCAAGAAAAUGAUGGAAUCUAUGACAUCUGUGGAAAAAUGUAGUGUCAUUACAUAGGGUGUGAAAUCCUGGCUCCACUGAAAUCAAGGACAAAGCGCUCAUUCACUCAUUGGCUUGAAUGAGGCCAGGAUGUCACCCUUGCAUUCUGCAUAUAAUUUAAUCAUAAAAUGUAAAUCCAGAAUUUAAUCCGACCUUCUAUAUAUUACAGGCCACCAACACCCACACACUGUAGAGCUUGAUUAAUUAUUGCAAGUGUUUGUACCAGCACUACUAAUAAACACUUUAUCACAGAUUCUUUCCCUGAUAGGUGGGCUAAACUGAAGUUUCUUGUUUAGCGGGAAAUUGAUGGAAUACAUCAUAGAGAAUAAUAAAAGCUUUUAUUACCAAUCAAAUACGACCACUUAUUAGUAUAACCAGGCAACAUAAAGCAAUAUACAGAGAAAGAGGUUUGGGGAUUGAUAGCAUAGUCACAUAUCCUUAAACUUCAUGGAAAAGAAAAAUAGAAGCAUUCAGUCAGUUGAGCACAUUGGACCAGUAUGCUGUUUACUUUGAGGAACUGAAGAUGUAUACAUCCAUCUUUAUCUCUCUGCCCUCCGGCUCCCCCCUGCCCUAAAAAAAAAUGACCCUCUUACAUUCUCCCCCUUCCCUCGUCCAAAGGUGUGGGCCAUUGUCAGUUUUCUGACCUACCCACAAUCUCCCGGUCCCACCUGUCAAUUCCUGAUGUGGCAGCUAUUACUUGCAAUGCUUCUCCAUUGGUCCGCUCCCCAGCUCCUUCACCCAGGAUCAUCCCCAACCCACCUGUUGGUAGAGAAUCUGUAGAAGGGAAGCUAUUUAUAAGAAGGGGGCUGCAUACCCAAGGAUCACAGAGACAUGGUGGGGGUCUAUCCAAACAAGAGUACUGAUGUGCUCUAGACAGUCCCUCAUUAUGGAAGAGUUCUGUGGAAUUUAAUAGCAAAUUAUAACAUUUCUAUGGGUUUUGAAACACCCUCCACUGUUAACAUGAAAUUAUGUCCCUAAUCUACAAUUCUAUAUUUCCAAAAUAUCUACAGAAAGGAGGAUAUCAUGCUCUUAAAUUCUUAUACAUAAACUGACAUAGGGCCAUUGACUCAAUGAAGCUGCACCAGUUUAUACUAUUUGAACAUCUGUCCAUAUAGGUUUUUGGGGAAACUUGUAUAGAGAUCUAUUGCAUUUCUAAGGAACCUCAUUGGUUUCAUCUCUAUAACAUAUUUCCAUGUGGUCCUGAUCUCUGGGCCAGUGGGAAGGGCACUUUCUAGGAUGCAGGAGACUCAGGUUUGAAUACCUAAUCUGGAGCAGAGACUUGAAUUCAGGUCUCCUCUCCUUCUGAUGAGUACUGUAAUCACCAGGCUACCGGCUGUUUUGCAGUAGAGGGUUCUACAUCUCCCCUAUUUAAGCUGUUUCACUUUUUAGUAAUAGAUAUUCACUGUGCCAGAGAUAGAGUGAUUAAAGCACUCACUUGGGGGUGGGGAGGUGUAAAGUCAAAUCUUAUUUCUGCCUGAUUUGGAGGAAGAGAGCAACUUACUCUGAAAAGAAGGUUUCCUUGGCUGAAACUAUUGUGUCAAAUUUUCAAAUAGUUUCAGGUUGACCAAAACUACUUUAAAAAAAAUUAGUUAGUUAGUUAGUUAGUUAUUGGGAGAAUAAACUGUUUGCUAGGGGAAAAAAAACACCCCUGCCCUUCUUUAGUCAUUUUCUUAGCACACAGGCCCUUUCUAGCCUCACAAUUCCUGCUCUCUGGCCAGACUAUGGAUAGCAGUGAAUGGGUGGGAGUUGUGAGAUUUAUACCAUUUUGUAGCCAGUGAGGAUUAUACUGAGGCUAUCCAAACUCUUAGCAUUUGCUGUAUAAAGUAAUUGUUUAUGUACCUACAUUUGCAGAGCUGGAGGACUAAUUAGUUUACCAAACACAUCUUAAUUUUCCUUGUGUUGUGGAUUUUAUUGCAUUCUCAUUUUGUCUCUAGCAGAAAGGGAAAACCAAAGAAUCAAACCAUUUGUUCCCAUGCUUUCUUAAAUAGAAAGGGAUGGGUAUCUGCACAUUUAGACAGGGGUGUUCACACAUCCCAGCAGUUGGCUUUUCUUGUUUAAAAAGCCCAUACUUCUGCAAAGGUACCUUAAUGUCUGGAAAACAGAGGUCAAUAAUAAAAAGUUAAAGAUCCAACCUGAGCAAAAACAAAUGUAUGGUUACCAGGUAAAGAUCCCUUCUUUCUUUAACCCCUAAGUCCAUUCUGGAUUGAAGGUUUGGGUAUUGACCAGAAUCUUCACCAUACAGGAAUCUAGAAGGUGAGGUCGAUUGAAAUUACUGCUAAUAGCUAUUAUUUUAAUCCUAUUUAUGUCAACAGCAAUGAAACAGUAGCUAAGAAAAUAGCUAGCACGUGAUGUCCAUCCCUGUUCAACAAAAGUAAGUGCUUUAGUGAAUAGAAAUGGACUUAAGUACAUGUUCAGGGGUUUUGCUGAAUUAAAGUAUUGCUUUCCACCUGCACUAGCACUCUUUCUUCUUCCUUCAAGUCUCACCCUAUUUCCUUUGUUUUUAAAAUGGAAAAGAUAGAAGCAGUGUCAUUACAACAUUUCUCUCCCAAAAAUAAAAACCCUCAUUAUAAAGCAUAAAGUUUUACUGUAUAUUGUGAUUUUCACCUAAUUCAAUUACUUGUUCAUUUCAUCUUCUGUUUAAUUUGAUCAACACCUGUACAGAGAAAAUAUUGAUAUUAAAAUAAUAUAGAUUCCACAUUUAAUUUUGCUCAAUUUGUAUUACUUAAAGCAGUAUUAGGAUAAUUCAGUCACUGACUAUAGAAAGAUAUUAUAUAAUUAUCACAAGAGCCAAGAUCCAGAAUAAGAGGAAAACAAAUAACAAGAAGACCCAAGUGAUAAUUAAAGAUGACUAUACUAAAGGUUGUUACUUAGAUAUUGUCACUGGCAUUAUACUAUAUCAGCUAUCAUAUGCCGUGCAAGCUGUGAUACUGUGUGCACUCUGAUAACCACAAGGAUAAAAAGAUCAACUGCUUAUUUUAAUCAAAGCGAUUGAAAAAUAGAAGAGGGCAUGAUUGGAAUAAGAGGAAGCUGCUUUGUGUCAUAUUAGAGUCUGCUGGAGACACUGAUUGCCCAAAGCCAUGUUCUGAUCAGACAGUUGGGUGGUUUGGUGGUGUCACAGCCCUGAAUCAACUGACAACAUUGCACAGUUGGAACUUUCAUUAAGGAGAGAGAAUUUCCUGUAUCCAUUAUAUUAAAAUUUAUUAUUCAGAUGCUUUUACACUGGGAAGGGGAUGGCAAAAAAGAGAAAAAGUGCUGGGCCUGCCUGUCUCCAUAGUAGUUUAUGGCACCACAUAUCCUACUACUUCCUGUGAUGACUCAUCCCUGAGUUACCUCUGAGCCUGCUUGAGAGAAAUGAGUCAUCAGUUAGCUUCAGGGUUCAGCCAAUCCAGAGGAAAGCUCCCACCCUGGUGAUCCCAAGGCAGGUAUAUAGGUUAUUAAGGGAAGCAGUCUCUCCAGUCUGAACAACAUGGUGGUGUACCCUGCAGCUCCCAACCACCACAGGGUGAAGUCACAGAGGUAGCUGGAAGUCACAGAUUCCAUGACUUCUGCAACCUCUGUGACUAAAUCGUAGCCAUAAUCAUGAUGGUUAUGGGACUCCCAUGGUGCACCAUGGUAGUUCAACCAGAAGAGAGACCAUGAUGCAUCAUGGGACAUGUAGUCUGGACACAGAGCUCAGGCCACAAAGAACAAUAACAAAAUUGAUUUUCCAGGAAAGCCCAGCGGCCCAGCCCAUAGAAAGAGAAAAAAUGCAAAAACUAAAUUUAAAAGAUCAGCAAAAUGACAACUUUUUUCCUGGGAAAAAUUGAUUUUGCAGAAGCUGCAUUUUUUAUAAAAUAACUGUGACAGAAAAUUGCCAAAUUCUGGCUAAUUGGAAUAAGCUAGUCCAAGCUGUGCAGUAAGAAGUUAUUGAUUCACUGUUUUUCUGGCUGAUAGUAGAAUGCCAUACACAUUUAUAGGAUGGAAUUAUAUAAUUGUGACAUAGUUGAGGGAGUGGCACCAGAAUGCAUUACUCAUGUUUGCAGUGUGGUAAUUGUGGUAGAUCCUUUUUUUCAAUUUUGACCAAAAAGACCAUAAAUAGGUUGGGAUACAACCAUAAUUGCAAUCAGAAGUGUGUGAGGUAUCACCUCGCUGUUUUAAAAUGGAAGAGACAAUAAUAGGUUUGGGAGCUUGUGGUUUUGGAUUCUAGAAUUUCUAGCUUGUGUCUAUUUUGUGUCUAUUUUGUUUUAACAGAACCCAGAUCUUAUUUCCUUUAGGUAAUGGUGUAACACUGUCCAGGCUUUCCCUGAUUCAAGAGAGUAUUACAGGGGUAAUUUUUUUGUAAUAAAUGGAUUUGAUGUGUGGUUUAUUAGAAGAAAUAGGAUUGGUUUAAGAGAGGGUUGGGUAGAUUAAUGUACUAUGAUAUUUUUUACAAGCAUCUAGAGCUUGGGAUAAAGACUUUAAAAGUAAAUCCAUAUAAAAGGGAGACUACGCACUCAAUACAAGACACUCUCUCAUCUCCUGAAACUUUGCUAUUCAUAAUGUAAUUUUUUUCUCCUGAAACGCAUGUUACCCCAACAUCUUCUUGAGAACUAUGUUGUCAGCUAUUACAUCCCUGGAGAACAAGCUGUGGGUAAAAAUUGAUGCAAGCUGCAUCAAGAUGAACAAAACUUGAUGAGAGACUAGAUGUUUUGGAGGAUGAAAUGGUUAGCAAAAGCACUCAGCCUGUAAAUGUUGAGAUGGAAAGUUUAAAG